rnacentral:rRNA from 1 species
GAUGAACGCUAGCGAUAGGCCUAACACAUGCAAGUCGAGGGGCAUCACAUGAAGUAGCAAUACGGAUGGUGGCGACCGGCGCACGGGUGAGUAACACGUAUGCAACCUGCCUUCAACAAGGGGAUAACCCGUUGAAAGACGGACUAAUACCCUAUAACACAGGGGUCCCGCAUGGGAAUAUUUGUUAAAGGACAACCGGUUGAAGAUGGGCAUGCGUUCCAUUAGCUAGUUGGCGGGGUAAGGGCCCACCAAGGCAACGAUGGAUAGGGGAACUGAGAGGUUUAUCCCCCACACUGGUACUGAGACACGGACCAGACUCCUACGGGAGGCAGCAGUGAGGAAUAUUGGUCAAUGGACGCAAGUCUGAACCAGCCACGUCGCGUGAAGGAAGACGGCCCUACGGGUUGUAAACUUCUUUUAUACGGGAAUAAAGUGCCCCACGCGUGGGGUUUUGCAAGUACCGUACGAAUAAGGAUCGGCUAACUCCGUGCCAGCAGCCGCGGUAAGUACGCAGCGA